AGUUCGGACUGCAGUCUGCAACUCGACUGCACGAAGCUGGAAUCGCUAGUAAUCGCGGAUCAGCACGCCGCGGUGAAUACGUUCCCGGGCCUUGUACACACCGCCCGUCACACCAUGGAAGUCUGCAAUGCCCGAAGCCGGUGGCCUAACCACUUAUGUGGAAGGAGCCGUCUAAGGCAGGGCAGAUGACUGGGGUGAAGUCGUAACAAGGUAAC
rnacentral:rRNA from 1 species